rnacentral:lncRNA from 1 species
UUAUUAUUCAAUUUUUUCAAAUUUUUUUACUUUACAUAGUAUCAGGGUGUAAAGAGACACGGUUUCAUCCAGCCUCACAUUCUGGCUGAGCAGGAUGUUGUCAUCACCACUUAUGACGUGCUGCGCACUGAACUCGAUUACGUUGACAUCCCCCACAGCAACAGCAAAGACGGCCGCCGAUUCCGCAACCAGAAGCGCUACAUGGCCAUACCGAGCCCUCUAGUGGCCGUGGAGUGGUGGAGCGUCUGUCUGGAUGAAGCUCAGAUGGUGGAGUGCACCACAGCCAAGGCUGCAGAAAUGGCUUUGCGUCUCACAUCUGUUAAUCGCUGGUGUGUCAGUGGAACACCUGUGCAGAGAGGUUUGGAAGACUUGUAUGGUCUUGUCCUAUUCUUGGGAGUUGAUCCCUAUUGGGUCAAAUACUGGUGGGACCAGUUACUUUAUCGCCCGUACUGCCACGGCAAUACGUCACCGCUCUACAAUGUCAUUGGUCAACUACUAUGGCGAUCUGCCAAAAAAGAUUAAUCCAAAUCCCUUCUCAAACAGAAGAGAUCCACUGGCUCAACUUCUCUCCAGUAGAGGGACACUUUUACCACCGUCAGCAUGAGGUUUGUUCGCAGGAUG